GAUGAAGAACGUAGCGAAAUGCGAUAAGUAAUGCGAAUUGCAGAAUUCAGUGAGUCAUCGAAUCUUUGAACGCACAUUGCGCCCCUUGGUAUUCCGAGGGGCAUGCCUGUUCGAGCGUCAUUAUAACCCCUCAAGCUCAGCUUGGUGUUGGGGCCUGCUGCACUGGCAGCCCUUAAAAUCAGUGGCGGCGCCAUCUGGCUCUAAGCGUAGUAAUUCUUCUCGCUAUGGAGUCCUGGUGGAUGCUUGCCAUCAACCCCCAAUUUUUCUAUGGUUGACCUCGGAUCAGGUAGGGAUACCCGCUGAACUUAAGCAUAUCAAUAAGCGGAGGA
rnacentral:misc_RNA from 1 species